rnacentral:rRNA from 1 species
UAUUACAUGGAUAACUGUGGUAAUUCUAGAGCUAAUACAUGCAAAAAGCUCCGACCGUAUGGGAAGAGCGCUUUUAUUAGACCAAAACCAAUGGGUUCGUAAGAUCCCUUUGUCUGGUGACUCUGGAUAACUUUGUGCUGAUCGCAUGGCCUAGAGCCGGCGACGUAUCUUUCAAAUGUCUGCCCUAUCAACUUUCGAUGGUAAGCGAUUUGCCUACCAUGGUUGUAACGGGUAACGGGGAAUCAGGGUUCGAUUCCGGAGAGGGAGCAUGAGAAAUGGCUACCACAUCUACGGAAGGCAGCAGGCGCGCAAAUUACCCACUCCUAGAUCGGGGAGGUAGUGACGAAAAAUAACAAUACCGGACUCUAUGAGGCUCGGUAAUUGAAAUGAGUACAGUUUAAAACCCUUAACGAGGAUCUAUUGGAGGGCAAGUCUGGUGCCAGCAGCCGCGGUAAUUCCAGCUCCAAUAGCGUAUAUUAAAGUUGUUGCAGUUAAAAAGCUCGUAGUUGGAUCUCGGGUUACUGCAUGUCUAGUCCUAAUCAAUCGGUUGGCCGUUUAUGCCCUUUACUGGGUGUUUUCGGUAGCCGGUACGUUUACUUUGAGAAAAUUAGAGUGCUUAAAGCAGGCUUUACGCCUGAAUAAUGUUGCAUGGAAUAAUAGAAUAGGACCUCGGUUCUAUUUUGUUGGUUUUGUAGAGCAUUGAGGUAAUGAUUAAUAGGGACAGACGGGGGCAUUCGUAUUGCGGUGUUAGAGGUGAAAUUCUUGGAUCGCCGCAAGACGAACAACUGCGAAAGCAUUUGCCAAGAAUGUUUUCAUUAAUCAAGAACGAAAGUUGGAGGUUCGAAGACGAUUAGAUACCGUCCUAGUUCCAACCAUAAACGAUGCCAACUAGCGAUUAGCUGCUGUUAAUUAAACGACACAGCUAGCAGCUUCCGGGAAACCAAAGUUUUUGGGUUCCGGGGGAAGUAUGGUUGCAAAGCUGAAACUUAAAGGAAUUGACGGAAGGGCACCACCAGGAGUGGAGCCUGCGGCUUAAUUUGACCCAACACGG